UACAGAGGUGGCGAGCGUUAUUCGGAAUUAUUGGGCGUAAAGGGCGCGUAGGCGGCUUGACAAGUCCCGGGUGGAAUCCCUCGGCUCAACCGAGGAACUGCCUUGGAAACUGUCUGGCUUGAGGCCGGGAGAGGGUAGUGGAAUUCCCAGUGUAGCGGUGAAAUGCGUAGAUACUGGGAGGAACACCGGUGGCGAAGGCGGCUACCUGGACCGGUUCUGACGCUGAGGCGCGAAAGCGUGGGUAGCAAACAGG
rnacentral:rRNA from 1 species